UACGUAGGGUGCAAGCGUUGUCCGGAAUUAUUGGGCGUAAAGAGCUCGUAGGCGGUCUGUCGCGUCGGCUGUGAAAACCCGCGGCUCAACCUCGGGCCUGCAGUCGAUACGGGCAGACUAGAGUGCGGUAGGGGAGACUGGAAUUCCUGGUGUAGCGGUGAAAUGCGCAGAUAUCAGGAGGAACACCAAUGGCGAAGGCAGCUCGCUGGGACGUGACUGACGCUGAGACGCGAAAGCGUGGGGAGCAAACAGG
rnacentral:rRNA from 1 species